CAGAAACACAAGCUGAGACUUGCAUUGCUGCUGCUCCAUGCCUCAGCACGGAAGCACAGUGGUAUCUCCUCUCCUGACAGCGGUUCAAUCAUAGAGCAGGGGCUGCUGCAGGUAGAUGAGAUCGUUGUGCGACUGACUCAUUCCUGGAUCCUUCUGAUGGUGGCGUCGACGGAAAAAGAGCUUUGCACUCUUUCUCAAGAUCCCACCUGUGAAAGCAAAGAGCAGAGGCAAAGGCGCUUUAGACAAACCAGACUGCUUUCUUCUAGCCUGCAGCUUCAGCUAUGACUGCAUCACUACUGAAGAAAGCCUUUGUCUCAGCAUUUUGAGCUUAAGCACCACUCUCAUAACAAAUUAAACUACGUUAGGAAGCUAAGAGAGUGGUGAAUUCAGAGCCACAGUAUUGAUGAUCUGUAACUGAGAGGAUGCAAGGGUACGAGUCCCGUGCUGGAACGAAGGGAUUUCGGAUACUGGCAAAGGUAUCAUGCAAACUGAAUCACUUGGAUUCAUGACAGACGGCGGCAGUACUAGAUCUAUGCAUAUGUCCAUGCUCUUACAGUCAGCAGAAGAGUUGAGAAGAGCUCACGUGUAUUUUGCUAGGGGAGCACUAAAGAAGUUCUUUCCUUCUAUUCUCUCUGAAAUGAUGCAGGUGAAAAGGAAGGAAAGCUGCUAUGCAGCUAUGAGGAAUUAAACAUUAAUCCUCCAAUUUCAACUUUGAAUUCACACAUCUUGUGGAAGUCACCUUCCUUCUACUUUGUUUCUAAUGCUCCUCUGAAAGCUACAGCAGUGUUCACACGUACACAUGCACAGCUCUUAGGGUGGCUUGUAUGCUGGAUUCCCAAAUGUCAAACAGGCACAUUCCAUCCUUCCAGUGCAAUAAAAGUACAAAGUAUUUUAUUAAAAGAUAGAGGAAGAAACGUUACUCUGUAGUUUCAGCAAUCAAUGGAGCUGAAAAGAUUAGCCCAUUACACACAAAGUGAAGGAGGCAUUUUGACAUGGAGGAUCCUGCUGAUGCCUGAAGUCAGUAGCUGUAUGUCAGCCCACAUGCAGCAGGCUCAAACAGUCAGACUGCCCGUCUUCCACAUGAAUUCGGCAGCAUAACCUAGAGCAGCAAUCAUUUGCUGGUUUAAAACACUGUUGGAAAUAACAAUUCACCUCAAGCAUAUUAAAAGUAGUAUUAUGUCUGCUUCCAAUAAGCUCAGAAAUUUGCCCAAAUCCCUUCUGUGGCAAAUUAGUCCAGAUUCUUUUAUAUACCCUUCCUCUUGAUUCCAUAUCUAGCUGCCAUUGCCUUGGCUGCAUAUCUCCACACUAUGGACUCAUGUUGGCAACACAAGACAUCAGUGGUCUUCCUUCUUUACAAGCCCUACAUGGUUUUGCAGCCAGCAUUCUGCCAGCUCCCACCUUCCAUUUUCCCAUGCGCCGUGUGCCUGAGGCACAAGGAAGGCUGCCUGCUCUUGGUACAACAGCCCAACGUCAAAAUAGCAAGAGUUCAGUGCACAACUGGGCAGUGCUGCUGUCGCAGUGACACAAGCCAGUUUGAACGAAGGAGGACCCAGGCAGCAAGCCAGCAGAGGGAGCCUUCUGGCACUCAGACAGGUACAUGAGGACAGUCAUCUUCCUGGCUAAGCUUCCACAACUUGUUUCCACACAACCAUCAGCUUUCCUUACUUUUCCUCUGUUUAACUAUCAGAUCCUGUCACUGCACAGUCUCAGCUCUGCUUCUCCUCCCGUUGUAAACAGAUACAAAAUGCAACACGCAGACCCAUUCUUGCAUGUGACUGUGCAACAGCAAGGAUCACAUCACUGUCAUCUAAGGACUGGGCCCAGGCUGCGUGUCAUUUUGCACAGCAACAGCUGCAGAAUAGGCAGUUCACAGCAGCCUUGUUUCAUGCAGCCAGAAGCUGCUCUGUUCAGACUGGAACAGUUACAGACACGUGCUCAGCAUUAUUACUUUUUUAUUUUAAGGACUGAGCACUCAGCAUCUGCAAAGACACUCCAGCGCAUUUUGUCUUGCUGUGGCCAAGACAUGGGCCACGAUGGGAUUGAUGCAGGAGUCAGCUGAAAGCAACUGGAACGCACAGACCUGAAUCUUGUCUGCUCUCCCAUCACCCUCUGAUUGAUCAUUUUGGCAAAGCAGCACCACUUCAAGCCGUUGUCAACAGCAUAAAAGAAACAGUGUUUUGCCCCUGAUACUGACAGUUGUUAAUAUGCAGGGGCUGGGGAGGUUGCUGAGGCACUGCUGCUGUGUGGCUUUUGUUUUAGCCCUCAGCUGCUCUGCCCAGCAGCGUUGGCAGCUGCAGCUGAAGCUGUGCCAGCAGGAGGAGCAGGACAAAGGAGCUUAUCUGUAAACAGCUUUUUUGUCCUAUCCAUUCACUGAUUUUCCAUCCUAACAAACAGAACCAAACCAAGAAUGCUUAGAACUUGUGCUGGUGGUCCAGGACAACUUGUUGCAGCUGAAAAAAAAAAAAAAAUGCAGGCUGCACUUCCCUGAGAACAGCACAGCCUCAUCAGUGGCUGCAGCCCCCAAGGUGAAAGCUCCUUGUGUUUUCAGAGGUACUGAGAUUGCUAGUAGCUGGAAGUUUGUAUCACCCACUGCUACCCACUGGUCUCCAGCCAGCUGGGUGUGUGCCGCCUGACAGUGGCUCCAGCACUGAGGAGGCACCCCUGUAAGAAGGCAGGCUACAGAGCAAAUAAACUCAGUGAUGCUUGUGCUGUUUACAUGCUUACUUCUUGAGUUCAAUGUGAUGCAUGUGCCAAACUCGGCUCCCAACACCAGGAGAUAAGCAGAGAGCACCUCAAGAAUGCUGUACAGACUAGCUGGUCUUCACAGGCUCCUGAGGGCCAGCUCAGGCUGUUCUAACUGGCUGGUCGGGUUGGGGUCACUCCUGAAUCUCUUUUUUUUUAUUGAAGGACGAUUUCCUUCCACAUCUACAAGGAUGUGAAUAGAGACUGCUUCUUUCCAUUCCUUCCUGACUCCAGAACAGUUUUUAAUCGAGGUGUCUGUGAAGUGCUUGUAGCUUUAGGAGUUCAGCUAGAAAGGAAAUCUAUAUAACUGUAAGCAGCAGUUUUUAAAAUAAGUAUUCCGUGUAUGCAUAUCCAGUUAUGAGGUCACACAUGGGUUUGCAUGAGCAGAUGUUCAACAGGAAUGGGCAUGAUGGAGAGAGAGCAGGAGCACACAGCACCCCUCCAAGCCUUCCUUGAAGCCUGUUCUGCAUGACCCACUUAGCCAGCACAUCCACCAGUGGAAUGAUUUGUCUGGGCAGACAAAGCUGCUAAGGCAUCUGAGCACAGGAAGGCAGUUUGCAGGAGGAAAGAAAUGGAUGGGGAAGAAAACAGGUGCCAAACUACAUUUUGCUCUGAUUUUUACAAUGAGCGCAUCAUUGUAAAGCUACGCUUUCUUUAAAAGAUAAGACAAAAGCAACUUACUGUGUAGGUAAUUAAUUCUGGCUGGCACAGUGGUCCUCUUAAGUUUAUAAAAGGGAACGGGUAAGAAACAGGAAGUCAGAAAAGCGAAGAACAAAAGGUAUUCUAGAGUAGAAAUCAUAGUGAAAGACAAUGCUAACUUUAAGACAUUCAUACCAUUCAGGAAGGUUUUUAAAGCAGAAAAGUGUUUGCUUUUUUUUGUUGUUGCUGUUUUUGUUGCUGUUCUUGUUUUUCAAAGGGAAAGGGAAUUAUUUUUGACAAAAAAAAAAAAGUCAAAGUACUCAAAGCUAACCAAGGGAAAGGAAGUAGAAAAGUUUUCUUAUCUCACUCCAUUGAACUCACUCAGCUGUGAGCAGAGGUUCAAAACUUCCACAGAGAGAUCUGUAAGGGAUUUUAGACAGUUUUAGAAAACAUUUUUAAAGCUGAGACAAUUUGUUCUUUCUAGCAGUCCUGCCCUACAUUGCACAAAGUAAACUUUCAGAAGCCUGACCUCUCUGCAACACACUGCGCAUGGAAAAGCAAAAGUAAACAGUUCACCUACAAGCUUCCACUUGCUUGAUUUAGAGUAAAACAUUAAAGAGUCCAGAGGUUUUCCAGAAUCUCAUAGAGCUCCCUAAAUUUCUUCAGGCUCCAAACAAGUCAAAUUACUUAGUGCUUAAGUUCACCUAAAUCCAUUCCAAACAGUCUAAUGCCUGACCAUCUUGGCCAAACUGAUGGUUGCUGUGCCAUCCUGAACUAUCAGAUGGAACAACAGACUUGUGAAAAGACCAGAAGACAUCAAGGCUUGGUGAAGAGGUCUAGUGCAUAUGUGAGAUGCAUUAGAAUCACAGAAUCACUAAGGUUGGAAAAGACCUCUAAGAUCACCUGGUCCAACCAUCAGCCCACCCCCCAGCAUGCCCACCAACCAUGGCCCCCAGUGCCAUGUUCACACGGCUCCAGGGAUCACAGAACUGUAGGGGUUGGAAGGGACCUCCAGAGAUCAUCGAGUCCAACCCCCUGCCAAAGCAGGUUCCCUACAGCAGGUUGCACAGGUAGGCAUCCAGGCAGGUCUUGAACAUCUCCAGAGAAGGAGACUCCACCACCUCCCUGGGCAGCCUGUUCCAGUGCUCCGUCACCUCACUGUAAAGAAGUUCUUGUGCACAUUUGUGCAGAACUUCCUAUGCUGCAGUUUCCGGCCGUUUCCCCUUGUCCUGUCUCCAUUCACCACUGAAAAGAGUCCAUCCUCACCAUUCUGCCCCCCACACCUUGGAUACUUAUAGACCUGGAUCAGGUCCCCUCUCAGUCUUCUUUUCUCAAGGCUGAACAGACCCAGUUCACUCAGCCUUUCUUCAUAGGAGAGAUGCUCCAGGCCCUUCACCAUCUUUGUGGCCCUCCGCUGGACUCUUUCCAAGAGAUCCCUGUCUUUUUUGUACUGGGGAGCCCAGAA